rnacentral:lncRNA from 1 species
UAGGGUUCUGAGGUGUUUUCAUGGGAGGAGGUGCUUUUGCUUUGGGUUAGAGCUUUUUAGUUGUUGCGAAAGAGACCUCUCGAUGCUUUUCUGAUUAUUGCUUUUAAUAUAUUGUCUUUCAUUCUUGUGCCAAACUUCUAGUCUGCUAAAAGAUUAGGUAGAGUCUCAUGGGUUGAAAUCAAAAGAAUAAGCAAAUGUUUG